rnacentral:lncRNA from 1 species
ACUCUCAUCCAAAAUGGAUUGUACUUUCAUGUUUUAUGCUUUAGUGGCUUAUGUGUUUGACCUGCUGGAAAUCUUCUUUUCUUUAGGUAAGCAUAAUCAGCAACAGAUAUGAGAGUUUGGAAUCAUGCCAAGUUUGAUUUGUUUUUUUCCAGAGUGGUUGAUUUCUAGCAUUGUCUUUCUUCCAUUAGAAAGCAGAUUCGUACUUGGAUAGUGUGAGAAAGCACGGGAG